AUGGUGUGCAGCGGCAGGGUGGUGGCCGGUGCCAAGGCGGACGAGAGAGGAGCAUUCACCAUGAACAUGGGAACGAUCACCUCGUCGCUGCUCGCCCCUCUGCUCGGCAACCAGUGCAAGGUGGUGGUGGUCACCCCGCUAGCCGCGUGCAACGCGUCCCUGGCCAGCGUCACCGGGACGCUGGCCGCACCGGUGCAGCUCCUGGAUGCUGAUAGCGGCGGCGGCCUGGGAGGACUUGGCAGCCUGAUUGGCCUCAUCGGCCAGAUCGUGGGCGGCCUCCUCGGUGGCAUCCUUAACAUCAUCCCUUUGCCCUUCUCCGUCGUCUAG
rnacentral:rRNA from 1 species